rnacentral:rRNA from 1 species
UGGGGAAUUUUGGACAAUGGGGGAAACCCUGAUCCAGCCAUCCCGCGUGUGCGAUGAAGGCCUUCGGGUUGUAAAGCACUUUUGGCAGGAAAGAAACGUCAUGGGUUAAUACCCCGUGAAACUGACGGUACCUGCAGAAUAAGCACCGGCUAACUACGUGCCAGCAGCCGCGGUAAUACGUAGGGUGCAAGCGUUAAUCGGAAUUACUGGGCGUAAAGCGUGCGCAGGCGGUUCGGAAAGAAAGAUGUGAAAUCCCAGAGCUCAACUUUGGAACUGCAUUUUUAACUACCGGGCUAGAGUGUGUCAGAGGGAGGUGGAAUUCCGCGUGUAGCAGUGAAAUGCGUAGAUAUGCGGAGGAACACCGAUGACGAAGGCAGCCUCCUGGGAUAACACUGACGCUCAUGCACGAAAGCGUGGGGAGCAAACAGG